rnacentral:rRNA from 1 species
AGGACGAACGCUGGCGGCGUGCUUAACACAUGCAAGUCGAACGAAGAGCGAGGGAAGCUUGCUUCUAUCAAUCUUAGUGGCGAACGGGUGAGUAACGCGUAAUCAACCUGCCCUUCAGAGGGGGACAACAGUUGGAAACGACUGCUAAUACCGCAUACGAUCCAAUCUCGGCAUCGAGGAUGGAUGAAAGGUGGCCUCUAUUUAUAAGCUAUCACUGAAGGAGGGGAUUGCGUCUGAUUAGCUAGUUGGAGGGGUAACGGCCACCAAGGCAAUGAUCAGUAGCCGGUCUGAGAGGAUGAACGGCCACAUUGGGACUGAGACACGGCCCAGACUCCUACGGGAGGCAGCAGUGGGGAAUCUUCGCAAUGGACGAAAGUCUGACGGAGCAACGCCGCGUGAGUGAUGACGGCCUUGGUGUAAGCUCUGUUAAUGGACGAAGGUCUUCUUGCGAUAGUAGAAGAAUGACGUACGAAGUAGAAGACACGAC